GUUACCGUAUUUAAAUUGGAGGGCAGUUGGAUCAAGAGCAUUAAGUUUAUUAUAAGAGACAGCAAGAUUACUUCAGAAUUCUAAAGCUUUUGGACUCUUCCUGCCCCCCUUUCUGCAAUUAUCCCUGAGCUUUGGGCAUGGGAGCUAUAUUAUAGAUGUAUCAAUUGAAGUGGCUCGACAACUCUGCAUUUUGAUCUUAUGGAUUUCUCAGCAAUCGUCUCUGUUUCAAAGAAGAUUCAUUGAUGAGAGGUCUGCUUCAUUUGAGCUAAAAGCCAACAGUACUUUUAACUCUCCUUUGGGUUCUCCAUGCAUCUGCUCUUCCUCAAGGACAUCACUACAGUUUGGAACUGUCCAUGACUCCUCGCUUUUGUUUAACAAUACACAUGGAAGCUUAUUAAAAGGAAGAUUUAAGGAUCUAAGAUUUCUUCAUAGGGCUAAGAAUCUGUUGGAAAGAUUGGCAUUGUC